CGCGCAGGUGGCUUAUCAAGUCUGGUGUGAAAGCCCAGGGCUCAACCCUGGAACUGCAUUGGAAACUGGUAGGCUUGAGUCCGAGAGGGGCCUGUGGAAUUCCUGGUGUAGGGGUGAAAUCCGUAGAGAUCAGGAGGAACACCGGUGGCGAAGGCGACAGGCUGGAUCGGCACUGACACUGAGGCGCGAAAGUGUGGGGAGCGAACA
rnacentral:rRNA from 1 species